rnacentral:rRNA from 1 species
AAGACUUGGCGGUGCCCUAUACCUCCUAGAGGAGCCUGUUCUAUAAUCGAUAAUCCCCGAUCAACCUCACCUCCCCUUGCCAAUACCGCCUGUAUACCUCCGUCGUCAACUGACCCCUCAAGGGAAAUAGUUGGUUCAAUGGCUAUCACCAAAAAGUCAGGUCAAGGUGCAGCGAAUGGGGAGGGAAGAAAUGGGCUACAUUCUCUACCUUUAGACUAUACGAAAGAUCACUAUGAAAUCUGAUUAGAAGGCGGAUUUAGCAGUAAAAAGAGACUAGAGCGCUCUUUUUAAGUCGGCCCUAGGGCGCGCACACACCGCCCGUCACCCUCUUCAACUCCACAUUUUUUAAAUCUAUAAUCUCCCCCUCGGAGAAUAGAAGAGGCAAGUCGUAACACGGUAAGUCCACCGGAAGGCGGACUUGG